rnacentral:rRNA from 1 species
UGCAUAACACAUGCAAGUCGAGCGAGACUAUUGAGAUUACAUCAACUGUAGUUUAGCGGCAAACGAGUGAGUAACACGUAAGCAACCUGCCCCAAAGUGGCGAACAACGUGCCGAAAGGUACGCUAAUACGCCGUAUAAUCCCCGGAAGGCAUCUUUUGGGGAUGAUAGGCCAGCAAUGGUCGCUUUGGGUGGGGCUUGCGGCCCAUCAGCUAGUUGGCGGUGUAAUAGACCACCAAGGCUAUGACGGGUACCCGGCCUGAAAGGGCGGACGGGCACGAAGGCACUGAGACACGGGCCUUACUCCUACGGGAGGCAGCAGUGGGGAAUUUUGGACAAUGGGGGAACCCCUGAUCCAGCAAUUCUGCGUGAGGGACGAAGUUCUUUGGAAUGUAAACCUC